rnacentral:rRNA from 1 species
CCUACGGGUGGCUGCAGUGGGGAAUAUUGCACAAUGGGGGAAACCCUGAUGCAGCGACGCCGCGUGAGUGAGGAAGGAUUUCGGGAUGUAAAGCUCUAUUAGCAGGGAAGAAAAUGACGGUUCCUGACUAAGAAGCACCGGCUAAAUACGUGCCAGCAGCCGAGGGAAUACGUAGGGGGCAAGCGUUCUCCGGAUUUAAUGGGUGUAAAGGGAGCGUAGACGGGAUAGCAAGUCUGAUGUGAAAACCCGGGGGUCAACUCCGGGAGUGCAUUUGAAACUGUUGAUCUAGAGUGUCUUAGAGGCAAGCGGAAUUCCUAGUGAAGCGGUGAAAUGCGUAGAUAUUAGGAAGAACACCAAGGGCGAAGGCAGCUUGCUG